CGAUAACUGGUAUUGAAAAUGUCGGCAAAGGGCUCAUUCGAGACGGCACUGGCUUCGUCACCUUCCCUGUCAAGUACCAGUGCGUUGUGUUCCGACCCUUCAAAGGCGAGAUCUUAGAAGCUGUUGUUACCAUGGUCAAUAAGCUUAAAAGGCUACCUGUUAGGGCUUGGUGAACUGUGGAAGCAUCAAUUUUGGCUAUGGAUGAUUGUGUGAAAGUUUGUUAUUGUUUUUGCCAUGAUUUUGAAGAUGGGAUUUUUUGCUUAAGCCGGGCCGGUUCAAAUUUUUGUAUCUAAUCAUAUUAUAUUUGCUUAGCCGGAGUAGUAAGAGAUGAUGUUGAACAAAGUAAAUACAAUCUUUGGAAGUCACUGACUCGUACUAUUACUAGAUAACCAGAGCUUCAAUGAUCAAUGAUGUCAAAUUUCAUUCGAUAAGUUUUCCUAACCUGAAAUAUUCGUGUUCUGGUACUUCUUCUCUUUAGGUUUUAUUUUUUGCCAUAGAAUACUUCCUGCCAAAUUUAAUGCACAUAUAUUUAUUUUUUCCUUCAGGAGUUUUGAAGCCAUAAACAGAGGAUGAUGAAUACAUUUAGUACUUUUUGAGUAUGUAUUUAUGGUAUCCAUUUUAUAUGCACCUUAAGGUACUCUUCUAUUGUUUUCAGUUGAUACCAGAUGAUAUGGAAUUCCAAUCUGGAGAUAUGCCUAAUUACACAACAUCAGAUGGAUCUGUUAAGAUUCAGAAGGAAAGUGAAGUUCGGUUAAAGAUUAUUGGAACUCGAGUAGAUGCUACAGAAAUAGUAUGC